rnacentral:rRNA from 1 species
UAUUUUCGCUGCGACUGUUCGGGCUCGGCCCGAUCCUCCCACCCUUUGUGUACCUACCUCUGUUGCUUUGGCGGGCCGCGGUCCUCCGCGGCCGCCCCCCUCCCCGGGGGGGUGGCCAGCGCCCGCCAGAGGACCAUCAAACUCCAGUCAGUAAACGAUGCAGUCUGAAAAACAUUUAAUAAACUAAAACUUUCAACAACGGAUCUCUUGGUUCUGGCAUCGAUGAAGAACGCAGCGAAAUGCGAUAAGUAAUGUGAAUUGCAGAAUUCAGUGAAUCAUCGAAUCUUUGAACGCACAUUGCGCCCUUUGGUAUUCCGAAGGGCAUGCCUGUUCGAGCGUCAUUACAACCCUCAAGCUCUGCUUGGUAUUGGGCACCGUCCUUUGCGGGCGCGCCUCAAAGACCUCGGCGGUGGCGUCUUGCCUCAAGCGUAGUAGAACAUACAUCUCGCUUCGGAGCGCAGGGCGUCGCCCGCCGGACGAACCUUCUGAACUUUUCUCAAGGUUGACCUCGGAUCAGGUAGGGAUACCCGCUGAACUUAAGCAUAUCAAUAAGCGGAGGAACUAA